rnacentral:rRNA from 1 species
UACGGAGGGUGCAACCGUUGCUCGGAAUUAUUGGGCGUAAAGCGCACGUAGGCGGUCCAGCAAGUCGGGUGUGAAAGCCCUCGGCUUAACCGAGGAAGUGCAUUCGAAACUACUGGACUUGAAUACUGAAGAGGAUCGCGGAAUUCCCGGUGUAGAGGUGAAAUUCGUAGAUAUCGGGAGGAACACCAGUGGCGAAGGCGGCGAUCUGGGCAGAUAUUGACGCUGAUGUGCGAAAGCGUGGGGAGCAAACAGG